AAAGAUACAGACAAAACAAACAUUAGUCCAAGUGGCCAACAACAAGCAUACAUCUAGCACUGAAUCUUUUUUUCGGUGUUUUUUUUUUUUUUUUCUUGCUUUGACAUAUGUGUUUUCUCAUUCGUGGCAU
rnacentral:ribozyme from 1 species